rnacentral:rRNA from 1 species
AUUGAACGCUGGCGGCAUGCCUUACACAUGCAAGUCGAACGGCAGCACGGGAGCAAUCCUGGUGGCGAGUGGCGAACGGGUGAGUAAUAUAUCGGAAUGUGCCCAGUCGUGGGGGAUAACGUAGCGAAAGCUACGCUAAUACCGCAUACGAUCUACGGAUGAAAGCGGGGGAUCGCAAGACCUCGCGCGAUUGGAGCGGCCGAUAUCCGAUUAGGUUGUUGGUGAGGUAAAAGCUCACCAAGCCUGCGAUCUGUAGCUGGUCUGAGAGGACGACCAGCCACACUGGAACUGAGACACGGUCCAGACUCCUACGGGAGGCAGCAGUGGGGAAUUUUGGACAAUGGACGCAAGUCUGAUCCAGCAAUGCCGCGUGCAGGACGAAGGCCUUCGGGUUGUAAACUGCUUUUGUACGGAACGAAACGGUGAGCUCUAAUAUAGUUUGCUAAUGACGGUACCGUAAGAAUAAGCACCGGCUAACUACGUGCCAGCCGCCGCGGUAA